AGCAGCCGCGGUAAUUCCAGCUCCAAUAGCGUAUAUUAAAGUUGUUGCAGUUAAAAAGCUCGUAGUUGAAUUUCGGGGUCAGUAAGUUGGUCGUGCCACUGGUAUGUACUGGCUUUACUGGUUCCUCCUUCUUGUAGAACCGUAAUGCCAUUAAGUUGGUGUUGCGGGAAAACAGGACUGUUACUUUGAAAAAAGUUAGAGUGUUUAAAGUAAGCUAACGCUUGAAUACAUUAGCAUGGAAUAAUGAAAUAGGACGAACGAUCCUAUUUUGUUGGUUUCUAGGAUUGACGUAAUGAUUAAUAGGGAUAGUUGGGGGCAUUAGUAUUCAAUUGUCAGAGGUGAAAUUCUUGGAUUUAUUGAAGACUAACUACUGCGAAAGCAUUUGCCAAGGAUGUUUUCAUUAAUCAAGAACGAAAGUUAGGGGAUCGAAGACGAUCAGAUACCGUCGUAGUCUUAACCAUAAACUAUGCCGACUAGGGAUCGGAUGAUGUUAAUUUUUUUCAAUGACUCAUUCGGCGCC
rnacentral:rRNA from 1 species